AAGGCACUUAAAAUAGGGCCUAGAGGUACGUGUUUAAUAACUUUAUUUGUUGAUAUUAUCUUGAAAGUAAGCAUGAUGUUUCUGAGACAGGGACUUAAUAUUUUUAUAACAGUGACUUUGUUAUAUUUCCCCUAGAUUCUUUCCUCUUUUUGGAUGAUGAAUUGAGAAGCAAAUGGACAAGCCCGCAUCUGUAGGAGAGGGACCCACAAAAUACAAUCUGGAGGUAAAUAUAGAAAAAAAGUGGUGACUUACUUCAGCGGCUGUGGUGAACAGAAUUAUUACUUCCUUCCGUUUUGGGCUCUUUUGAGUUCUCAAGAGGUACAAGCAGAAAAAUCUACACCAGAUGGCUCUAAAGGAGAUUACAUUCAUAUUUUAUUUAUUCCCUGUCUACGUCUAAAAAGGAUUUAAGGUACAUGCUUGGGUCCCAGCGAGGUGGAUGAUAGCAGCUGUAACUGGAGGCAUAUGAAUGAGGAGAACUUCCUUGAAAACACCCCAGAAGGAAGCUGACCUGGAUGCAGUUUUCAAAUCCUGGAUUUGAGCCUUGUGGUACCAUGAGCACAGAAUUCAGUCACUUCGUGUCAGGGCAUCUUGCCUACGAAAGCUGUGAUAUCAUAAAUACAUGUCAUUUUAAGUCUUUUUGUUGUAAGACUGAGGCCCCUGUUUUCUUGCUGGCUGUUGGCCAGGGGCCACUCUCGGCUUUUAGAAACCACUAGCCCUCCUUGCCACAAGGCCCGCUCCAUUUUCAAAGUCAGUAGUAGAAAACUUCUCCCUUGUCAAAUCUCUCUCAGUCUUUGAAACUAACCUUUCAGUUGCUGAUUUCUGGACUCUGAUGAAAGGACUCAUGACUAGGGCAGGCCCUGCUGGAUAAUUUCUCUAAGUGAUUUGGGGCCUAAAUUAUACAUAAUUUAACCCCUUCACAGUAACACUUAGGUUAGUGUUGGAUUGAAUCACUGGGAGAAACUGUGUUUGCAUAAGGGCUGAGAAUUUGGGGGGGCUUUUUAGAUUCUGCUCAGAUGCCCAUUUACAUGGCUAUAAGCAUUUCCUAGUUAGGUCCCUAGUAUCCAGUCUCUGCUUUAAUUCACAUUACAAAGGGACUCCCUCAAUGAAUU